UAGUGUAAUUGGCAACACGGCAGUCUCCAAAACUGUUAAUCAGGGUUCGAAUCCCUGG
rnacentral:tRNA from 1 species